AUAACGGUCCUAAGGUAGCGAAAUUCCUUGUCGGGUAAGUUCCGACCCGCACGAAAGGUGUAACGAUUUGGGCACUGUCUCAACGAGGGACCCGGUGAAAUUGAAAUACCUGUGAAGAUGCAGGUUACCCGCGACUGGACAGAAAGACCCCAUGGAGCUUUACUGUAACCUGACAUUGGGUUUUGAUACAUUACGUACAGGAUAGGUGGGAGGCAUGGAAAGCUGGACGCUAGUCUGGCUGGAGCCGACGUUGGGAUACCACCCUUGAUGUAUUGAAAUUCUAACCGCGAGAGUAACGAAAUCCGGGACAGUGUCAGGCGGGCAGUUUGACUGGGGCGGUCGCCUCCGAAAGAGUAACGGAGGCGCCCAAAGGUUCCCUCAGCGCGGCCGGAAAUCGCGCGAAGAGUGUAAAGGCAGAAGGGAGCUUGACUGCGAGUCAAACACGACGAGCAGGUACGAAAGUAGGGCUUAGUGAUCCGGUGGUACCGAGUGGAAGGGCCAUCGCUCAACGGAUAAAAGCUACCCUGGGGAUAACAGGCUAAUCUCUCCCAAGAGUCCAUAUCGACGGGGAGGUUUGGCACCUCGAUGUCGGCUCAUCACAUCCUGGGGCUGAAGUCGGUCCCAAGGGUUGGGCUGUUCGCCCAUUAAAGUGGUACGUGAGCUGGGUUCAGAACGUCGUGAGACAGUUCGGUCCCUAUCCAUCGCGGGCGCAAGAGAUUUGAAGGGGGCUGCUCCUAGUACGAGAGGACCGGAGUGGACGAACCGCUGGUGUACCAAUUAUCCCGCCAGGGGUACAGUUGGGUAGCUACGUUCGGAAAGGAUAAACGCUGAAAGCAUCUAAGCGUGAAACCAGCCUUAAGAUGAGAUCUCUCAUAGAGCAAUCUAGUAAGACACCUUAAAGAAGAUGAGGUUGAUAGGUCGGGAGUGUAAGUACAGCAAUGUAUUGAGCGGACCGAUACUAAUAUGUCGAGGGCUUGACUUA
rnacentral:rRNA from 1 species